UGAGGAAUUUUGGACAAUGGGGGAAACCCUGAUCCAGCGACGCCGCGUGAAGGAUGAAGGUCUUCGGAUUGUAAACUUCUUUUGCCUGGGAAUAACCGCCUCAUAGAAAUAUGGGGAAUGAAUGUACCAGGCGAAUAAGCCACGGCUAACUUCGUGCCAGCAGCCGCGGUAAUACGAAGGUGGCAAGCGUUACUCGGAAUUACUAGGCGUAAAGGGCAGGUAGGCGGUUCGGUUAGUCUGUUGUGAAAGCUCCUUGCUUAACGGGGAGAGGCCAACAGAUACUGCCGAGCUUGAGUAUAGGAGAGGGUACUGGAAUUCCCGGUGUAGCGGUGAAAUGCGCAGAGAUCGGGAGGAACACCAAUGGCGAAAGCAGGUACCUGGACUAUUACUGACGCUCAGCUGCGAAAGCUAGGGGAGCAAACAGGAUUAGAUACCCCUGUAGUCC
rnacentral:rRNA from 1 species